CAGCAAUGUAAUUCCAGUGAAGAUGGAAACUUUGCACCAGCCAAGCUCUACAUUUAGCAUGGUGGCGGAGUGUUUGGAAUCCAUAGUACUGCUGAUCAUGUGGUUUUGGACUGGUGACCCAAUCUGUGUUUCAACAUCCUCACCUGUAAGAGGGAAACAAUACUUUCUACAUUACAGACUUGUGAGACUUCAACGACACAAUCAGAUGUCUGCCACAUAGUAAUACCUACAGCUAACAAUUAUUGAGCAUCUGCUCUGUGACAGGGCAAUUGGUGUGAUUCCAUUACCCAAAUUCCGUGCCCUCUUUGAAAUGAGACACGUCUAUCAAUCUGAAUCCUACGUGAGCGUAAUGAGCAGAGCACCCUGUCAGCCCACCUUGGAUAUGAUAGAAAUAAACUUUUAUUUUAA
rnacentral:lncRNA from 1 species